ensembl:lncRNA
ACCCCAAGUUGCUGCAAUCUCUAUCUCUAACUAGCCUUGGACUUGUGAGGUGCCCUCUUUGCUUGAGAGGCCACUCUGUCCAUACACCCUGGGGUGUGGUAACUGAGGGGUGUCCCCAGUCAUGUUGGGAGGAAAGCAGACAGACCACAGAGUUCUGUACUGGACACAGUCUGUACAGUGCCUGACUCACAGCACUGGAGGAUUGUCCAUCCUUGUUCCCAGAGAGGGGCUAGGCCAGCCAAACCCCUCACUUCAUACUCUGACAAUGGAUCGAAGGGGCCUGGAGCAAACUGCAAUACCCCUGUCCGUGGACAUCUCCAUGUUCUGUGAGGAACCCGGUAUGAACAUGGAUGUCACAGUGAGCUCCAGGCCUUCGACUUUUGGCUGGGUCCUCCAGCGCUUCAGCAUGCACACAGACCUUUCCCAUUCUUCCACCGCUGACUCUACAGGUGGCCAUUGUGUGGUCUGUGGCAAGGUAGAAAAAGGGACCAGAAUGGGAGCCAAAAUCCUGGAGUCCUCAUUGUUACUCUUCCAUAAACCAGCUGUGUGACAAGGGUUCAUUGCAGCAGUUGAUUCACAUCCUCCAACCCUGCUUUGUGUAAUAUGUGUCAAUCAGCUAUUCAAUAAAGCCAUGAAAUUGCCAAAACUGUUUCACCAUAUGGAGACCAAGCAUCCUGGAUCAAAAGACAAGCCUUGGCAUUUUUAUUUUUUAAAGAAAAAAAUGUGAACACAAAGAAAAAAGCUGGUGCAUGAUCAACUAUCUCAGCUUUUGAGAGUUUGAGUUUAUUUCCCAACCACAAAAGGCCCCCAAACUGGAAAGGAAUGAACACAUAACCUACUUGUAAUGACCCAGGUAAAUUAACUUUGUGCUGGAAGAGGAUCAACUUCUGAAGAUUGUAAAUGAUAGUGGCCUUAAAAGUAUGUCUGAGACAACUUCAAAUUGUCAUGCAUUCUGGAUUAAAGUCAAAGUGGAAUAUCCUGAAAUUGCCACAAAAAGACAAAAGCCUUGUUCCAUUUCCAACAUUCUGUCUCUGUGAAGCAGGGUUUUCUGUAGUAACAGCAACACAGAUCGGGUAUCAUUGUCUCGCAUCAUCUCAGAUGGGUCCAAUUAGCUGCAAGAAACAAGUUCAGGGCUCCUGUUGAUUCUGCAUUAUGACUCGGGACUCACCGCGGACAAGCCUGGGAACUCCCCCUGGCGCAACAGCUAAAUGGCAAGCAGAUGGCUGGCAUGCCAGAGACCUCCAUCCCCGCGGUUUCCGGAUGGGAAGACUGGGAGCUGGGUCGUGGCAUCCUCUGCUGAAAUGAGCGAGUUUCGAAAGCAGGAGUCCCCUUUCAGCAGGCGGGGAUGCGAAGAGCCAGACUAGAGUCCAGAAAGGGAAGCCCCCGCCACGGAAGGUUGUGGGCGCUAAGAGGCGCUAACCUGUCACCCACUUCAGAGGAAAGGCGUCCUUCGCCCGCCCUUCGCCGGUGAGACGCGGACGCCGCCUUCUCCAGCCCAGCUUCUCAAGCUCCAGAAAGACUCCAGGACUCCCCUUGUUUCCAAGCUCUCCAUCGCUGC